ACCCUGCACAAGAUAUUGUUUUUCAUAUUCAAGGGGCUUAUGACCGUUCGUUUACCCUUUAGCACUGAAUUUCCAUUGGUACAACCAAAUACGGAAGUUGACAGAAUAAUGGAUAGUUACAGGCUGUGACAGGGAUCGUCUACAGAUUCCGUUCGUCGGUCGUUUUUCAGAUUUCGUCAGCUAAUAAAUUCGCGGUUGUUCAAGAUGGCGACAAGCAUAGAUUUCAGAAACAUGGACAAGGAUUCAGCCUCUAAAAGUGACGCCAUUUCUAAAAGCGAAGCCGCUAAGAAAAAAUUAGAAAAUGACCCGAGUUAUAUUGCAGCAACAAACUUAACGUCACCAGCCUGUAAUGAUGAUUCACCAAGACGUAAAACGACGGAGGAAAUGAAACCGCCAGCUAAAAAAUAGAAUAAGUUAAAUAUUAAACGAUCGUAUGCUACCGGAUGUUCCUUUUAUCUCAAGACAGCAGUUUUAAAUAUCAUUACUUGUUAACUGUCUGAUAUCCUUCAAUCAGCUUUGUUGAUGAAUGGUAAAAUUAAUGACUUCCUUUAAUCGUCGAUUUGAAAAUUCGGCAAGAAAACCUAUUCAAGCGUUGUAUUUUAUCGUGUCGUUUUUAUAAGCAUGUAACAAAAUGAUAUUUUCUGCCUUGCAUUAUGAAAGAUCAACCUUAUUUUUUAUAUAAAAUCUAUUUUAACACAAUUUUAGUGAUAUGUACAAAAUGCGAAUGUGUACAUAAACUGAUUUAUGUACACAUUUUUUUUAUCAUAUCCUAAACAAAAAAUUGUAAAACAAGGUGUUAUUUAAAAAAAUAAGUUUUAAUACUUCAACUUGUUUGUUGAAAUUUGUUUAACUCCCUGUUGCAUAUAUUAUAUGGAUUUUUAAUUAAAUUGACCAGUUAUAGAUGGUAACUUGCCUAACUUCUAGUUUUAGUAGUACCCCCUCUAUAGCGGCACCCGACAUGAUGUUGUAUAAUAACCGCUGAGGACGCACUUCUACAUUGUAUGUGAAUCACUUUAGUGUAUUGUUUCCUCUUUGCUUUGUCCUUUGUCCUUUGUCCUUGGUAAUGUACAUCGUGAGGCGGCCAGCGUUCAUUGAUACUACACGUUAUUUGCUUUUGGGGGGUUGUAAGGUAAUUGUAUUGGCAGCAGCAGGUCAUAAUCAUCACAUUUAAUUGUAUUAAUUAUGUUGCUGUUGAAACCUUUUGACUACCAGUAUUGCCUGUUGUUUUUGUAUUGUUACGUUCAUUUAGUUUAUGCAGGGAGCUGUUAAGGCUUAUGAUAUGCCUACUAUUAUUUUCUCCGAACAUUUACAACUUUUUAUAUUUUGCUUCAGUGGCGGACCCAGAAAUUUGAAAUAGAAGGGCCCAGAGAAGGAUAGGGAGCGGGGAUCAAUACCACCUCAGCUCCACAGUGGUUGGUGUUAAGAUAAGAAUUUAUAAUUAUGGCACUUCUAGAUGGCCGGAAAUGGCGGUCUCUGACUUAAAUUUGAAUAUUUUUUUUUAUCCACAAUGUUUUUUUUUAUUUUGAAAAAAAUAGAGGGGUACAGAGCGGCCGGCUGGGGUCUCUAUUGAAUCCGCCCCUGUACUUGAUAUUGAUUUAUCGGCUGAUGGUCAUUAUAACCAAAAUAAGUAUAAUUAUCUAAAACAAUUUAUUUGUAGUAAAUGUUUACCAUUAUUUGAAAUUUAACAAUACAUUUAUUAUAAAUCAAAUAUAUGUAAUGUACCAUGUCUCAAUGUGUUAUCAAUGCAUAGAUAUAAUAUGUUUAGCCCUAGAAGUUUAUUAAUACCUGAAUAAACAAAUUCAUUAUACAUUUUAAAA